GGAGGAACCAUGGGAUCGCAAGACCUUGCGCUCAUUGAGCGGCCGAUGCCUGAUUAGCUAGUUGGUGAGGUAAAGGCUUACCAAGGCGACGAUCAGUAGCUGGUCUGAGAGGACGACCAGCCACACUGGGACUGAGACACGGCCCAGACUCCUACGGGAGGCAGCAGUGGGGAAUUUUGGACAAUGGGGGAAACCCUGAUCCAGCCAUGCCGCGUGAGUGAAGAAGGCCUUCGGGUUGUAAAGCUCUUUCAGCCGGAACGAAACGGUCACGGCUAAUACCUGUGACUACUGACGGUACCGGAAGAAGAAGCACCGGCUAACUACGUGCCAGCAGCCGCGGUAAUACGUAGGGUGCGAGCGUUAAUCGGAAUUACUGGGCGUAAAGCGUGCGCAGGCGGUUUUGUAAGUCAGAUGUGAAAUCCCCGGGCUUAACCUGGGAACUGCGUUUGAAACUACAAGGCUAGAAGGG
rnacentral:rRNA from 1 species